AUUGAACGCUGGCGGCAUGCCUUACACAUGCAAGUCGAACGGCAGCACGGGAGCAAUCCUGGUGGCGAGUGGCGAACGGGUGAGUAAUAUAUCGGAACGUGCCCGGUCGUGGGGAUAACGUAGCGAAAGCUACGCUAAUACCGCAUACGAUCUACGGAUGAAAGCGGGGGAUCGCAAGACCUCGCGCGAUUGGAGCGGCCGAUAUCAGAUUAGGUAGUUGGUGAGGUAAAGGCUCACCAAGCCGACGAUCUGUAGCUGGUCUGAGAGGACGACCAGCCACACUGGGACUGAGACACGGCCCAGACUCCUACGGGAGGCAGCAGUGGGGAAUUUUGGGACAAUGGGCGCAAGCCUGAUCCAGCAAUGCCGCGUGCAGGAUGAAGGCCUC
rnacentral:rRNA from 1 species